rnacentral:tRNA from 1 species
GUGGUUGUAGCUCAGCUGGUAGAGCACGGGAUUGUGACUCCCGUCGUCGAGGGUUCGAAACCCGUCAGCCACCCCA